UACAGAGGGUGCGAGCGUUGUCCGGAAUCACUGGGCGUAAAGGGCGCGUAGGCGGCUUGAUAAGGUUGCGGUGAAAGCCCGGGGCUCAACCCCGGGUCGGCCGUGGCAACUGUCGAGCUGGAGCACUGUAGAGGCAGGUGGAAUUCCGGGUGUAGCGGUGGAAUGCGUAGAGAUCCGGAAGAACACCGGUGGCGAAGGCGGCCUGCUGGGUCAG
rnacentral:rRNA from 1 species